ensembl:snRNA U6 U6 spliceosomal RNA
UCGCUUCAGCAGCACAGAUACUAACAUUGGAACGAUGCAGAGAGGAUCAGCAUGGCGCCCGCACAAGGAUGACACACACAUUCGUGACACCUUCUAUAUUUAA